rnacentral:rRNA from 1 species
UACGUAGGUGGCGAGCGUUGUCCGGAUUUAUUGGGCGUAAAGAGCUCGUAGGCGGCUCGUUGCGUCGGCUGUGAAAACCCGCAGCUCAACUGUGGGCUUGCAGCCGAUACGGGCGGGCUUGAGUUCGGUAGGGGAGACUGGAAUUCCUGGUGUAGCGGUGAAAUGCGCAGAUAUCAGGAGGAACACCGGUGGCGAAGGCGGGUCUCUGGGCCGAAACUGACGCUGAGGAGCGAAAGCGUGGGGAGCGAACAGG